GACUUAUAUUCUGUAGCAAGGUUAACCGAAUAGGGGAGCCGGAGGGAAACCGAGUCUUAAUUGGGCGUUAAGUUGCAGGGUAUAGACCCGAAACCCGGUGAUCUAGCCAUGGGCAGGUUGAAGGUUGGGUAACACUAACUGGAGGACCGAACCGACUAAUGUUGAAAAAUUAGCGGAUGACCUGUGGCUGGGGGUGAAAGGCCAAUCAAACCGGGAGAUAGCUGGUUCUCCCCGAAAGCUAUUUAGGUAGCGCCUCGUGAAUUCAUCUCCGGGGGUAGAGCACUGUUUCGGCUAGGGGGCCAUCCCGGCUUACCAACCCGAUGCAAACUGCGAAUACCGGAGAAUGUUAUCACGGGAGACACACGGCGGGUGCUAACGUCCGUCGUGAAGAGGGAAACAACCCAGACCGCCAGCUAAGGUCCCAAAGUCAUGGUUAAGUGGGAAACGAUGUGGGAAGGCCCAGACAGCCAGGAUGUUGGCUUAGAAGCAGCCAUCAUUUAAAGAAAGCGUAAUAGCUCACUGGUCGAGUCGGCCUGCGCGGAAGAUGUAACGGGGCUAAACUAUGCACCGAAGCUGCGGCAGCGACACUAUGUGUUGUUGGGUAGGGGAGCGUUCUGUAAGCCUGUGAAGGUGUGUCGUGAGGCAUGCUGGAGGUAUCAGAAGUGCGAAUGCUGACAUAAGUAACGAUAAAGCGGGUGAAAAGCCCGCUCGCCGGAAGACCAAGGGUUCCUGUCCAACGUUAAUCGGGGCAGGGUGAGUCGACCCCUAAGGCGAGGCCGAAAGGCGUAGUCGAUGGGAAACGGGUUAAUAUUCCCGUACUUGGUGUUACUGCGAAGGGGGGACGGAGAAGGCUAUGUUGGCCGGGCGACGGUUGUCCCGGUUUAAGCGUGUAGGUGUGUGUUCCAGGUAAAUCCGGUUCACUUUAACACUGAGGCGUGACGACGAGGCACUACGGUGCUGAAGCAACAAAUGCCCUGCUUCCAGGAAAAGCCUCUAAGCAUCAGGUAACAUCAAAUCGUACCCCAAACCGACACAGGUGGUCAGGUAGAGAAUACCAAGGCGCUUGAGAGAACUCGGGUGAAGGAACUAGGCAAAAUGGUGCCGUAACUUCGGGAGAAGGCACGCUGACACGUAGGUGAAGUGAUUUACUCAUGGAGCUGAAGUCAGUCGAAGAUACCAGCUGGCUGCAACUGUUUAUUAAAAACACAGCACUGUGCAAACACGAAAGUGGACGUAUACGGUGUGACGCCUGCCCGGUGCCGGAAGGUUAAUUGAUGGGGUCAGCGCAAGCGAAGCUCCUGAUCGAAGCCCCGGUAAACGGCGGCCGUAACUAUAACGGUCCUAAGGUAGCGAAAUUCCUUGUCGGGUAAGUUCCGACCUGCACGAAUGGCGUAAUGAUGGCCAGGCUGUCUCCACCCGAGACUCAGUGAAAUUGAACUCGCUGUGAAGAUGCAGUGUACCCGCGGCAAGACGGAAAGACCCCGUGAACCUUUACUAUAGCUUGACACUGAACAUUGAGCCUUGAUGUGUAG
rnacentral:rRNA from 1 species